ensembl:misc_RNA Metazoa_SRP Metazoan signal recognition particle RNA
GCCGGGUGUGGUGGCACGCGCCUGUAAUCCCAGCUACUCAGGAGGCUGAGGCAGAAGAAUUGCUUGAAUCCAGGAGGCAGAAGUUGCAGUGAGCAGAGAUCACGCCACUGCAUUCCAGCCUGGGUGACAGAGCAAGACUCUGUCUCAA